UACGUAGGCAGCAAGCGUUGUUCGGAAUUACUGGGCGUAAAGAGUGUGUAGGCGGUGCUCUAAGUCUGUUGUGAAAAUCUCCCGGCUUAACCGGGAGGGUGCGGCGGAAACUGGAGUGCUUGGGGUGGAGAGGUAAGCGGAAUUCCGUGGUGUAGCGGUGAAAUGCGUAGAUAUCAGGAGGAACACCUGUGGUGUAGACAGCUUACUGGACCACUUCUGACGCUGAGACACGAAAGCGUGGGUAGCAAACAGG
rnacentral:rRNA from 1 species